UGGGGAAUAUUGGACAAUGGGCGCAAGCCUGAUCCAGCCAUGCCGCGUGAGUGAUGAAGGCCCUAGGGUUGUAAAGCUCUUUCACCGGUGAAGAUAAUGACGGUAACCGGAGAAGAAGCCCCGGCUAACUUCGUGCCAGCAGCCGCGGUAAUACGAAGGGGGCUAGCGUUGUUCGGAUUUACUGGGCGUAAAGCGCACGUAGGCGGACUUUUAAGUCAGGGGUGAAAUCCCGGGGCUCAACCCCGGGACUGCCUUUGAUACUGGAAGUCUUGAGUAUGGUAGAGGUGAGUGGAAUUCCGAGUGUAGAGGUGAGAUUCGUAGAUAUUCGGAGGAACACCAGUGGCGAAGGCGGCGAACUGGACCAUUACUGACGCUGAGGUGCGAAAGCGUGGGGAGCAAACAGG
rnacentral:rRNA from 1 species